GACGAACGCUGGCGGCGUGCCUAAUACAUGCAAGUAGAACGCACAGUUUAUACCGUAGCUUGCUACACCAUAGACUGUGAGUUGCGAACGGGUGAGUAACGCGUAGGUAACCUGCCUGGUAGCGGGGGAUAACUAUUGGAAACGAUAGCUAAUACCGCAUAAUAUUAAUUAUUGCAUGAUAAUUGAUUGAAAGAUGCAACUGCAUCACUACCAGAUGGACCUGCGUUGUAUUAGCUAGUAGGUGAGGUAACGGCUCACCUAGGCGACGAUACAUAGCCGACCUGAGAGGGUGAUCGGCCACACUGGGACUGAGACACGGCCCAGACUCCUACGGGAGGCAGCAGUAGGGAAUCUUCGGCAAUGGACGAAAGUCUGACCGAGCAACGCCGCGUGAGUGAAGAAGGUUUUCGGAUCGUAAAGCUCUGUUGUAAGAGAAGAACGGGUGUGAGAGUGGAAAGUUCACACUGUGGCGGUAUCUUACCAGAAAGGGACGGCUAACUACGUG
rnacentral:rRNA from 1 species